GGCGGCGUGCCUAAUACAUGCAAGUCGAACGAACUCUGGUAUUGAUUGGUGCUUGCAUCAUGAUUUACAUUUGAGUGAGUGGCGAACUGGUGAGUAACACGUGGGAAACCUGCCCAGAAGCGGGGGAUAACACCUGGAAACAGAUGCUAAUACCGCAUAACAACUUGGACCGCAUGGUCCGAGUUUGAAAGAUGGCUUCGGCUAUCACUUUUGGAUGGUCCCGCGGCGUAUUAGCUAGAUGGUGGGGUAACGGCUCACCAUGGCAAUGAUACGUAGCCGACCUGAGAGGGUAAUCGGCCACAUUGGGACUGAGACACGGCCCAAACUCCUACGGGAGGCAGCAGUAGGGAAUCUUCCACAAUGGACGAAAGUCUGAUGGAGCAACGCCGCGUGAGUGAAGAAGGGUUUCGGCUCGUAAAACUCUGUUGUUAAAGAAGAACAUAUCUGAGAGUAACUGUUCAGGUAUUGACGGUAUUUAACCAGAAAGCCACGGCUAACUACGUGCCAGCAGCCGCGGUAAUACGUAGGUGGCAAGCGUUGUCCGGAUUUAUUGGGCGUAAAGCGAGCGCAGGCGGUUUUUUAAGUCUGAUGUGAAAGCCUUCGGCUCAACCGAAGAAGUGCAUCGGAAACUGGGAAACUUGAGUGCAGAAGAGGACAGUGGAACUCCAUGUGUAGCGGUGAAAUGCGUAGAUAUAUGGAAGAACACCAGUGGCGAAGGCGGCUGUCUGGUCUGUAACUGACGCUGAGGCUCGAAAGUAUGGGUAGCAAACAGGAUUAGAUACCCUGGUAGUCCAUACCGUAAACGAUGAAUGCUAAGUGUUGGAGGGUUUCCGCCCUUCAGUGCUGCAGCUAACGCAUUAAGCAUUCCGCCUGGGGAGUACGGCCGCAAGGCUGAAACUCAAAGGAAUUGACGGGGGCCCGCACAAGCGGUGGAGCAUGUGGUUUAAUUCGAAGCUACGCGAAGAACCUUACCAGGUCUUGACAUACUAUGCAAAUCUAAGAGAUUAGACGUUCCCUUCGGGGACAUGGAUACAGGUGGUGCAUGGUUGUCGUCAGCUCGUGUCGUGAGAUGUUGGGUUAAGUCCCGCAACGAGCGCAACCCUUAUUAUCAGUUGCCAGCAUUAAGUUGGGCACUCUGGUGAGACUGCCGGUGACAAACCGGAGGAAGGUGGGGGAUGACGUCAAAUCAUCAUGCCCCUUAUGACCUGGGCUACACACGUGCUACAAUGGAUGGUACAACGAGUUGCGAACUCGCGAGAGUAAGCUAAUCUCUUAAAGCCAUUCUCAGUUCGGAUUGUAGGCUGCAACUCGCCUACAUGAAGUCGGAAUCGCUAGUAAUCGCGGAUCAGCAUGCCGCGGGUGAAUACGUUCCCGGGCCUUGUACACACCGCCCGUCACACCAUGAAGAGUUUGUAACACCCAAAGUCGGGUGGGGUAACCUUUUAGGAACCAGCCGCCUAAGGUGGGACAG
rnacentral:rRNA from 2 species